rnacentral:tRNA from 1 species
GGCCCCGUGGUGAAUAAACCAUAAUGAAUUGCAAAUUCGGCGAAGCAGCUUAGGCCCUGCCGGGGCUU